UCCCUGUAACCCCCUCUGGCUGACCUUGGAGGUGGUGCCUUUAGGCUGGAACGGGUUGUGGCCCAUUCUUCUUGUGCUAAAAACAGAAGAGAAAAACAAAUUUUGCAAUCAGUCUAUCUCAGGAAGAAAAAAGUCUUACACCUUCACUUUCAGCAGAGAAUGAAAAACUACUGUGGUGAUGGUACAGUCAACUCUGGAAAAAUUACUGUAUAUUUUGGAAGCUAACCCUGAGCAAUCAGGAAAUUACCUUCAGUUGUGGUCUAGCAGUUGAACCCAAAACUUGAAUUCUCUCCUAAAUCAGCUAGUGGAUUGUGAA